UUGCUCUCGGGUGACGAGCGGCGGACGGGUGAGUAAUGUCUGGGAAACUGCCUGAUGGAGGGGGAUAACUACUGGAAACGGUAGCUAAUACCGCAUAAUGUCGCAAGACCAAAGUGGGGGACCUUCGGGCCUCAUGCCAUCAGAUGUGCCCAGAUGGGAUUAGCUAGUAGGUGGGGUAACGGCUCACCUAGGCGACGAUCCCUAGCUGGUCUGAGAGGAUGACCAGCCACACUGGAACUGAGACACGGUCCAGACUCCUACGGGAGGCAGCAGUGGGGAAUAUUGCACAAUGGGCGCAAGCCUGAUGCAGCCAUGCCGCGUGUGUGAAGAAGGCCUUCGGGUUGUAAAGCACUUUCAGCGGGGAGGAAGGCGGUGAGGUUAAUAACCUCAUCGAUUGACGUUACCCGCAGAAGAAGCACCGGCUAACUCCGUGCCAGCAGCCGCGGUAAUACGGAGGGUGCAACGUUAAUCGGAAUUACUGGGCGUAAAGCGCACGCAGGCGGUCUGUCAAGUCGGAUGUGAAAUCCCCGGGCUCAACCUGGGAACUGCAUUCGAAACUGGCAGGCUAGAGUCUUGUAGAGGGGGGUAGAAUUCCAGGUGUAGCGGUGAAAUGCGUAGAGAUCUGGAGGAAUACCGGUGGCGAAGGCGGCCCCCUGGACAAAGACUGACGCUCAGGUGCGAAAGCGUGGGGAGCAAACAGGAUUAGAUACCCUGGUAGUCCACGCCGUAAACGAUGUCGAUUUGGAGUUGUGCCCUUGAGGCGUGGCUUCCGGAGCUAACGCGUUAAAUCGACCGCCUGGGGAGUACGGCCGCAAGUUAAAACUCAAAUGAAUUGACGGGGGCCCGCACAAGCGGUGGAACAUGUGGUUUAAUUCGAUGCAACGGAAGAACCUUACCUGGUCUUGACUUCCACGAACUUUC
rnacentral:rRNA from 1 species